CAUCGCGCCACUGCCCUCCCUCCCUGCGCUGGGACGGGGGGACACGGUGCGGAGACUGGCCUCCCGUGCGCCCCGGCGUGCGGCUGGCCCAAAUGGGAUCCCCCGGUGCUGCACGCCACGAUGAUUGGUGGUUGAUUGCUCGACUCACGUGCCGUCGUGCCCCGCAGCAUCACCGGCUAGGGUAUCCGGAAGGACCCAACGGCGUGCGCCGCCAACAUUC
rnacentral:misc_RNA from 1 species